rnacentral:lncRNA from 1 species
AAUUUAGAAAUCUCCUAGGCAUCUCGUUUCUAUGUUAAUCCAUCCCCGAUUCCUUUAACUUGUUCUUUUUUUGAAUCAGUUUUAAACUCUUCUGGAUGGAUGCUGGGCUACGUGAUCCCACUCAGCUGGAGAGCCUCUGGGAUGAAUGGGCCAAUUCCAGAGCCACUGCCGAUAAUCUGCAAGGCAGAAAAUCCAAUUAUGGGUAAUUAGGAGUCACUCCAAGAUUCUGUAGACAGUAGCUUGAUGCUGCCUUAUGGCUAUAAACAACCGUCUCUGAAUAAAAACUAAUUUGAAAUAGCUUGACUACUAAUUUCUACCAUUAUUUGUAUGUUUCUCAGCAGUUUUCAUCGCCAUGUGUUCGACUUUAGUGUCCUCGGACCUAAGAAUUAUACACGUCAGCAUGUAUUUUUGCAGAUAAUGGGUGCAUUGUCUGGAGCUAUAGUGAAGUUCUCUCCGUGCUAUUCACAUGAUGGAUCAUCUCAUCACUGUCUCCUACUUCUAGCUACUGCUGGUGAGCCCAUCUACCUGGAGGCUUUCACUAGCUUUUGUGCA